GGUUCGAUGGUGUAGUUGGUUUAUCACUUCUGUCUAACACGUCAGGUGUACACAGGCGGUCCUCGGUUCGAGCCCGGGUCGAAUCA